UACGGAGGGUGCAAGCGUUGCUCGGAAUUAUUGGGCGUAAAGGGCAGGUAGGUGGUCUGAUUUGUCUGGGGUGAAAUCCUUGGGCUUAACUCAAGAAGUGCCCCAGAAACGGUCAGACUAGAGUGCUGGAGAGGCAAGCGGAAUACCCGGUGUAGCGGUGAAAUGCGUAGAGAUCGGGUGGAACACCAGAGGCGAAGGCGGCUUGCUGGACAGUGACUGACACUCAACUGCGAAAGCGUGGGGAGCAAACAGG
rnacentral:rRNA from 1 species